UACGGAAGGCAGCAGUGGGGAAUAUUGCACAAUGGGCGAAAGCCUGAUGCAGCUAUGCCGCGUGUAUGAAGAAGGCCUUAGGGUUGUAAAGUACUUUCAUCGGGGAGGAAAAAACAAAACUAAUAAUUUUAUUUCUUGACGUUACCCGAAAAAGAAGCACCGGCUAACUCCGUGCCAGCAGCCGCGGUAAUACGGAGGGUGCUAGCGUUAAUCAGAAUUACUGGGCGUAAAGAGCACGUAGGUGGUUUUUUUAAGUCAGAUGUGAAAUCCCUGGGCUUAACCUGGAACUGCAUUUUGAAACUGAAAUACUAGAGUAUCGUAGAGGGAGGUAGAAUUCUAGGUGUAGCGGUGAAAUGCGUAGAUAUCUGGAGGAAUACCUGUGGCGAAAGCGGCCUCCUAAACGAAUACUGACACUGAGGUGCGAAAGCGUGGGGAGCAAACAGGGGUUAGAUACCCGU
rnacentral:rRNA from 1 species